GGCGCCGCCGGCCGCAGCCGCCCCCGGCCCGCGCUCCGGGCCGCCCUCCUCCCCCCCGGACGCCGCGGCGGGUGCGGGGCGCGCGGGCGCCUGCGCCGGGGGCUCCCCCACCCACCCCUUGCGGGCCGCCGGUGUUCCGGUUCCGAAUCCACCCGGGGGCCAGGAUGACGAUCCGACACCAAGGCCAACAGUACAGGCCGAGGAUGGCAUUUCUCCAGAAGGGGAGCGCGCCGCCCCCUGGGCCUGAAGCAUCAGCCCUGCUUGGGCAGAAUGUUGGAGGGUGAGGAGCUUCCUACCCGUCCAGGAAAAACUGUGCUCGGAGUGUUCUUUCUACACCUUUUCUCCCAGCGGUUCCCAGCAGCUCGGGUGAUCCACGGGGUAACCUGCCCGCGAAUACCUCCUGUCUUGAUGUCCUUCCUUUCCCUGGCUCACUUCCCCAGCCACCUAGGGCAGCUUCCCCAGCCGGGCUCAGCCCUCUUACCGACGCUGCGAGACAGGUUCCAUUAUUGUCCCCAUUUUGCAGGUAAGGACAGGGGCGGGUAAGGACCAAGACUGAAGAACUGGGGUGAUUCAGCGACACAGUGACCCAGUGAAGCUGGUCUCGCUACAACAGUAGAGGCAUAAAGCACAGCCCGCGGUGGGUCCUAGCUCCCAAGUCUGUGUGAGGAGCAGGGGCAGGAACCCCGAGGGCAGAGCCUUGAGGCUGAGAUUGAAGGGGCUUCUGCUGUGGUGGGGGUGGCGUGUGCCGGGGCAGAGGCGUGCGCCAGUCUCGUGAGUACGGGGGGGGGGGGGGGGGGGGGGGACAGGCAGGCGAGGACGGGUCAUAAAGAUCUCCUGUGCCUUUCAGAGGUGCUCUGAUUUCCCCCCAAAAGAAGCCACUGAGGAAUUUGGAGCAGGUGAGUGAUGCGGUCAGAUUCAAGCUCAAAAUCAAGUUCAGAAGACCAUUCCGAUGCUAACGAGAGGAAGGUUGGGAUGUCGUCUUCUCCCUGAGCUGAGAGACUUCACACUCGAGUCCUCCUGUGUUCACUGCAGCUGUCACCUAGGAAGUGACAGGCUUAUCAAGGACUGGGAGAAAGGGACGGGUCAGAAGGUCCCUUCUUUCUCCUGGGGCGGCUUGGCCUCCAGCUCAGCCAGUGCCACUCUUGGGUAGACAGCCCCACCAGCCACACCGCUGCCACCUCUGAUUUCUGUUGCCAGGCCUGGUGACUGGCACCCCACCAGGGAGGGGUCCGGGCUUGCUUAAGAUGUGGCAAGAAGCGGUGGAAAGUCUACUAUCCAAGAGGUUUGCCCCGGGGGGGGGGGGGGGGAGUUGGCUGAUGACACACAGCGGACAUGAGAGCGUGGCUGGGCCGCCUUCCGUGUCCCACACACAGGGCGCUGCUCCUGUUCCGGCCUAUCUCUGUGUCUGGGCAACUCUGACCAGCUAGGGGGUGAGGCGGACAAAACGUUCCUUCGGGCCUCUAAUAUGUUUUUCUUUAAGACUUAGGGAGAUCGUUGGGCCUGGUUGAGCCCUGCAAGAAGUAGGAAUCUUCAGAAGGCUCGGGCGGAUUCGGAAUUGCUUAUGUCAGGGGCGCCUGGGUGGCUCAGUCCGUGAAGCGUCCAAGUCUUGACUCUUGAUGUCGGCUCAGGUCAUAAUCGCACGGCUCGUGAGAUGGAACCCCGUGUCGGGCUCUGUGCUGACCGUGCGGAGCCUGCUUGGGAUUCUCUCUCUGCCCCUUCUCAGCUCGCUCACAUGAGUGUGUGCGCUCGUGUGCGCGUGCUCUCUCUCUCAAAAUAAGUAAAUAAACCUAAACAAAUAGAAUUGCUUGUGCCAUUUAUACAUUCAUCCAUGUCACAAACAUGUGCUGAGCAUCUGUUGUGUUUCAGACAUCGUUAGAUGCUGGGAUAGCAGACAGUCGAGGCAUGGUCCCUAUCUGCAAGCAGCUUUUAGUCUAGAAGCCACAUACGCCAAUCACAGGUGCCACGACAGACACCUGCAGGGUAGAGGAAGUGCGUAAGUUCCAGCAUUCGCUUUAUCCUUGCUCAAGGUCACACGGGUGGAAUAUCAGGAAAGGACUUUGGAAGACUGCGCGGUGGGUGGGCUGGAUCUUGAAGGAUGGGAAGGUGUUGUUGAGGCAGCUGGGGUGUUGGUGAAGUAGGAGAACUUGCAUUUAGCUGCAGAUCUAGUGCGUGUCCCUUGCUGACCAGAGCCAGGUGGUGAGGGCCAAUAGUCAGUCCUAUUUCUGAAGGGAGGUUCUGGAAUACUUGAGAGAAGUUCUCGGUAGUUAUUGAGAACGUAACAAAAACGAGGACUUUCUGAGGCCGGACACAGCUAACAAGGCAUGUGGGACAUGGGCAUUUGGACUGUGACUGGCAGCCGUGUAGCUGGGACAAGAGUCUCCCUACUAGGGAAGAGAGUGCAGUGGCUUGGGAUCCUAUUCCACCUUUGCACAACAAAGGAUAUGAUGCGGGUGUUCCCCAGGGAGCCCUCUCUGGCGGACAGGAACACUCUGGUCCCACAAAUCUUAAGGACAGUGACAGCCACUUCAUGUGAGAAGAAGCCAGAAGCAUGGGUGGAUGGAAGAAUGAGGCUAUUGCUUUUUGAUGCCUUGUAGGGAUGGUCUGGAUUCUUUGAAAUGCUUGAUGUCAUACUUCAGUCAGCUGGACUCUGAGAGGGGGAAAAUGCUAGGCCUGUUGUGGGGUCAGAGAGGCCCAGGAUGAUCUCUUUGUUGUUUGUGGCCUUGGAAUUAGUUGUGGAGAGAAGUCAGGAUUCUAGAGAGCCAGGGAACUGUGGUCUGGUCAACUCUCUCUCUCUCUCUGUGUGUGUGUGUGUGUGUGUGUGUGUGUGUGUGUGUUGGGGGUGACAGUGUGGGGAAGGGAUAGGGGGUCUUCAAUGUGUCUAAUGAAAAAAGAUACCUCCGGAGGGCUGCACACGGAACACGAAGAUGAGGGGGGCCCAGAGAUGCCCCAGCAACACCCCUUCUAGAGGGUUUUAGGAAUCAACAUGGACUGUCUCUUGUUGGUGUGCAGUGUUCAUUUAAGACAGGGAGACGGCCAGGCUCCCCUCUCUGAGACCUUAGGAGUCAGUCCUACGUUUUGCACUUCAUUCUUUUUCAGGGAACCCCUUCAGCGAACUUACAUGGGAAAAGGUCAGAGGAAAAUGAUUCUGUACCCUAAUGGGAAGUCUUAGCCCGUCCAGGCUGGUAUCGCAAAAUACCGCAGAGUGGCUGGCUUACAAACAACAGAAAUUGAUUGCUGACGGUUCUGGAGGCUGGGAGUCUGAGAUGCCAGGAUGGCCGGGGCUGGUGAGAGCCCUCUUCCCAGCCACAGACUUCGUGCCGUGUCCUCGCAGGGCGGAAGGGGCCGGGAAGCUCUCUGGGGUCUCUGUGGUCAGGGUGGGAAUCUCAUUGACGGAGACUUUCAGGAGUAAAACUAACGAAUCACCGAGGUAGUACUUAGUACAAGUUUAUUGCGCCUGCACCAAAAAGACAGUUUGCAAACUGGGAGCCCUCAAACCGAAGCAUGAGAGGGAGGCUCAGGCGUGCAUUGUUAUAAAGCAGCUUAGACAGCGUGGAGGCAGUGACUGCUUAUUCUUUACAGUGAUGGGUUAUAAUACUAGAAGUUUCUUAAGUGACAAGGAAAUGGGCAGUGCUUACCUCACAUUAUCCUGGGGAAACAGGUCACAUGUUGCUUAUAAUUUCCAGAGGCAGAAGCAAGAAAUGACCCAGGUCAAGCUAGCCUUGCAAAAUAAGCUAAAUCAGGCUUUAUUGUAUGACUAAACUGGGUUUUUUUUUUUUGUUUGUUUUUUGUUUUUUUUCCUGCUUGGGGAAUUUUCAAGGCUGGUCUUGAUGUGGUUUUUAUUUUAACAGUUUCAACUUACAGGGGCACCUGAGGGGCUCAGGGAGUGAAGCGUCUGACUUCGGCUCGGGCCAUGAUCUCAUGGUGUGUGGGUUUGAGCCCCGCAUAGGGCUCUGUGCUGACAGCUCGGAGCCUGGAGCCUGCUUCGGAUUCCGUGUCUCCCUCUCUCUCUGCCCCUCUCCCCUUCAUGCUCUCUCUGUCUCUGUCUCUCUC